CCUACGGGAGGCAGCAGUGAGGAAUAAUGGUCAAUGGACGAGAGUCUGAACCAGCCAAGUAGCGUGAAGGAUGACUGCCCUAUGGGUUGUAAACUUCUUUUAUAUGGGAAUAAAACGUUCCACGUGUGGGAUUUUGUAUGUACCAUAUGAAUAAGGAUCGGCUAACUCCGUGCCAGCAGCCGCGGUAAUACGGAGGAUCCGAGCGUUAUCCGGAUUUAUUGGGUUUAAAGGGAGCGUAGGUGGAUUGUUAAGUCAGUUGUGAAAGUUUGCGGCUCAACCGUAAAAUUGCAGUUGAAACUGGCAGUCUUGAGUACAGUAGAGGUGGGCGGAAUUCGUGGUGUAGCGGUGAAAUGCUUAGAUAUCACGAAGAACUCCGAUUGCGAAGGCAGUUCACUGGACUGCAACUGACACUGAGGCUCGAAAGUGUGGGUAUCAAACAGGAUUAGAUACCCCAGUAGUC
rnacentral:rRNA from 1 species